CCUACGGGUGGCAGCAGUGAGGAAUAUUGGUCAAUGGACGAGAGUCUGAACCAGCCAAGUAGCGUGAAGGAUGACUGCCCUAUGGGUUGUAAACUUCUUUUAUAUGGGAAUAAAAUGUUCCACGUGUGGGAUUUUGUAUGUACCAUAUGAAUAAGGAUCGGCUAACUCCGUGCCAGCAGCCGCAGUAAUACGGAGGAUCCGAGCGUUAUCCGGAUUUAUUGGGUUUAAAGGGAGCGUAGGUGGAUUGUUAAGUCAGUUGUGAAAGUUUGCGGCUCAACCGUAAAAUUGCAGUUGAAACUGGCAGUCUUGAGUACAGUAGAGGUGGGCGGAAUUCGUGGUGUAGCGGUGAAAUGCUUAGAUAUCACGAAGAACUCCGAUUGCGAAGGCAGUUCACUGGACUGCAACUGACACUGAGGCUCGAAAGUGUGGGUAUCAAACAGGAUUAGAUACCCGAGUAGUC
rnacentral:rRNA from 1 species